GACGAACGCUGGCGGCGUGCUUAACACAUGCAAGUCUAACGGAAAGGCCCUGCUUUUGUGGGGUGCUCGAGUGGCGAACGGGUGAGUAACACGUGAGUAACCUGCCCUUGACUUUGGGAUAACUUCAGGAAACUGGGGCUAAUACCGGAUAGGAGCUCCUGCUGCAUGGUGGGGGUUGGAAAGUUUCGGCGGUUGGGGAUGGACUCGCGGCUUAUCAGCUUGUUGGUGGGGUAGUGGCUUACCAAGGCUUUGACGGGUAGCCGGCCUGAGAGGGUGACCGGCCACAUUGGGACUGAGAUACGGCCCAGACUCCUACGGGAGGCAGCAGUGGGGAAUAUUGCACAAUGGGCGGAAGCCUGAUGCAGCAACGCCGCGUGCGGGAUGACGGCCUUCGGGUUGUAAACCGCUUUCGCCUGUGACGAAGCGUGAGUGACGGUAAUGGGUAAAGAAGCACCGGCUAACUACGUGCCAGCAGCCGCGGUGGUACGUAGGGUGCGAGCGUUGUCCGGAUUUAUUGGGCGUAAAGGGCUCGUAGGUGGUUGAUCGCGUCGGAAGUGUAAUCUUGGGGCUUAACCCUGAGCGUGCUUUCGAUACGGGUUGACUUGAGGAAGGCAGGGGAGAAUGGAAUUCCUGGUGGAGCGGUGGAAUGCGCAGAUAUCAGGAGGAACACCAGUGGCGAAGGCGGUUCUCUGGGCCUUUCCUGACGCUGAGGAGCGAAAGCGUGGGGAGCGAACAGGCUUAGAUACCCUGGUAGUCCACGCUGUAAACGGUGGGUACUAGGUGUGGGGUCCAUUCCACGGGUUCCGUGCCGUAGCUAACGCUUUAAGUACCCCGCCUGGGGAGUACGGCCGCAAGGCUAAAACUCAAAGGAAUUGACGGGGCCCCGCACAAGCGGCGGAGCAUGCGGAUUAAUUCGAUGCAACGCGUAGAACCUUACCUGGGUUUGACAUGGAUCGGGAGUGCUCAGAGAUGGGUGUGCCUCUUUUGGGGUCGGUUCACAGGUGGUGCAUGGCUGUCGUCAGCUCGUGUCGUGAGAUGUUGGGUUAAGUCCCGCAACGAGCGCAACCCUUGUUCACUGUUGCCAGCACGUUAUGGUGGGGACUCAGUGGAGACCGCCGGGGUCAACUCGGAGGAAGGUGGGGAUGACGUCAAGUCAUCAUGCCCCUUAUGUCCAGGGCUUCACGCAUGCUACAAUGGCUGGUACAGAGAGUGGCGAGCCUGUGAGGGUGAGCGAAUCUCGGAAAGCCGGUCUCAGUUCGGAUUGGGGUCUGCGACUCGACCUCAUGAAGUCGGAGUCGCUAGUAAUCGCAGAUCAGCAACGCUGCGGUGAAUACGUUCCCGGG
rnacentral:rRNA from 1 species